UGGCGAACGGGUGAGUAACACGUGGGUGAUCUGCCCUGCACUCUGGGAUAAGCCUGGGAAACUGGGUCUAAUACCGGAUAGGACCAUGCUUUAGUGUGUGUGGUGGAAAGUUUUUUCGGUGUAGGAUGAGCCCGCGGCCUAUCAGCUUGUUGGUGGGGUAAUGGCCUACCAAGGCGGCGACGGGUAGCCGGCCUGAGAGGGUGUACGGCCACAUUGGGACUGAUAUACGGCCCAG
rnacentral:rRNA from 1 species